rnacentral:rRNA from 1 species
AAUGAACGUUGGCGGCAUGGAUUAGGCAUGCAAGUCGGGGGAAUACCAGCAAUGGGGGAACCGGCGUAAGGGGCAGUAAGGCAUGGGUACCUACCUUGGGGUUCGGGAUAGCCAUAAGAGAUGGUGGGUAAUACCGGAUGACGUCGUGAGACGAAAGAUUUAUCGCCCUUAGAGGGGCCCAUGUGAUAUUAGCUAGGUGGUGGGGUAACGGCCCACCAAGGCGAAGAUGUCUAGCGGGUGUGAGAGCACGACCCGAGCCACUCGCACUGAGACACUGGCGAGACACCUACGGGUGGCUGAAGUCGAGGAUCUUCGGCAAUGAGCGCAAGCUUGACCGGGCGAUGCCGCGUGAGCGAUGAAGGCCUUCGGGUUGUAAAGCUCUUUAGUGGGGGAGAAAAGCCGCAAGGUGUGAUCUAUCCCAAAAAUAAGCACGGGCUAAGUUCGUGCCAGCCGCCGCCGUAA